rnacentral:tRNA from 1 species
UCUAUCAAAGGAAAAAAGCUCUCCACUGG